rnacentral:lncRNA from 1 species
CAAACUCUCCUACUACUGCAACUACACUUCCCACUACUGUUUCUACAACAGAAACGACACAGACAACUGAACCUACAACUGAGAUUACGACAAACUCUCCUACUACUGCAACUACACUUCCCACUACUGUUUCUACAACAGAAACAACACAGACAACUGAACCUACAACUGAAAUUACGACAAACUCUCCUACUACUGCAACUACACUUCCCACUACUGUUUCUACAACAGAAACAACACAGACAACUGAACCUACAACUGAGAUUACGACAAACUCUCCCACUACUGCAACUACACUUCCAACUACUGUCUCUUCAACAGAAACGACACAAACAGCUGAACCUACAACUGAGAUUACGACAAACUCUCCUACUACUGCAACUACACUUGAAACUACUGUCUCUACAACAGAAACGACACAGACAACUGAACCUACAACUGAGAUUACGACAAACUCUCCUACUACUGCAACUACACUUCCCACUACUGUUUCUACAACAGAAACGACACAGACAACGGAACCUACAACUGAGAUUACGACAAACUCUCCUACUACUGCAACUACACUUCAAACUACUGUCUAUUCAACAGAAACGACACAGACAACUGAACCUACAACUGAGAUUACGACAAACUCUCCUACUACUGCAACAACACUUCCAACUACUGUGUCUUCAACAGAAACGACACAGACAACUGAACCUACAACUGAGAUUACGACAAACUCUCAUACUACUGCAACAACACUUCCAACUACUGUCUCUUCAACAGAAAUGACACAAGCAACUGAACCUACAACUGAGAUUAUUACAAACUCUCCUAAUAUUGCAACUACACUUCCAAAUACUGUCUUUUCAACAGAAACGACACCAACAUCCGAACCUACAACUGAGAUUACGUCAAACUCUCCUACUACUGCAACAACACUUCCAACUACUGUCUCUUCAACAGAAACGACACAAACAACUGAACCUACAACUGAGAUUACGACAAACUCUCCCACUACUGCAACUACACUUCCAACUACUGUCUCUUCAACAGAAACGACACAAACAACUGAACCUACAACUGAAAUUACGACAAACUCUCCCACUACUCCAACAACACUUCCAACUACUGUCUCUUCAACAGAAACGACACAAACAGCUGAACCUACAACUGAGAUUACAACAAACUCUCCUACUACUGCAACUACACUUGAAACUACUGUCUCUACAACAGAAACGACACAGACAACUGAACCUACAACUGAGAUUACGACAAACUCUCCUACUACUGCAACUACACUUCCCACUACUGUUUCUACAACAGAAACGACACAGACAACUGAACCUACAACUGAGAUUACGACAAACUCUCCUACUACUGCAACUACACUUCCCACUACUGUUUCUACAACAGAAACAACACAGACAACUGAACCUACAACUGAAAUUACGACAAACUCUCCUACUACUGCAACUACACUUCCCACUACUGUUUCUACAACAGAAACAACACAGACAACUGAACCUACAACUGAGAUUACGACAAACUCUCAUACUACUGCAACAACACUUCCAACUACUGUCUCUUCAACAGAAAUGACACAAGCAACUGAACCUACAACUGAGAUUAUUACAAACUCUCCUAAUACUGCAACUACACUUCCAACUACUGUCUUUUCAACAGAAACGACACCAACAUCCGAACCUACAACUGAGAUUACGUCAAACUCACCUACUACUGCAACAACACUUCCAACUACUGUCUCUUCAACAGAAAUGACACAAACAACUGAACCUACAACUGAGAUUACGACAGACUCUCCUACUACUGCAACAACACUUCCAACUACUGUCUCUUCAACAGAAAAGACACAAACAACUGAACCUACAACUGAGAUUACGACAAACUCACCUACUACUGCAACAACACUUCCAACUACUGUCUCUUCAACAGAAACGACACAAACAACUGAACCUGCAACUGAGAUAACGUCAAACUCUCCUACUACUGCAACUACACUUCCAACUGCUGUCUCUUCAACAGAAACGACACAAACAACUGAACCUACAACUGAGAUUACGACAGACUCUCCUACUACUGCAACAACACUUCCAACUACUGUCUCUUCAACAGAAAUGACACAAACAACUGAACCUACAACUGAGAUUACGACAAACUCACCUACUACUGCAACAACACUUCCAACUACUGUCUCUUCAACAGAAAUGACACAAACAACUGAACCUACAACUGAGAUUACGACAGACUCUCCUACUACUGCAACAACACUUCCAACUACUGUCUCUUCAACAGAAAUGACACAAACAACUGAACCUACAACUGAGAUUACGACAAACUCACCUAUUACUGCAACAACACUUCCAACUACUGUCUCUUCAACAGAAACGACACAAACAACUGAACCUACAACUGAGAUAACGUCAAACUCUCCUACUACUGCAACUACACUUCCAACUGCUGUCUCUUCAACAGAAACGACACAAACAACUGAACCUACAACUGAGAUUACGACAAACUCACCUACUACUGCAACAACACUUCCAACUACUGCAACAGAAACGACACAAACAACUGAAUCUCCAACUGUGGUUCCAACAACCCCCAAAACAACCCAGUCAGUUCUUUUUAGUUUUUCCAGUGAUGAAACGUUUGUGGAUGAUUUGUUAAAUACAGCUUCAGAUGCAUAUAAAUCCAGAGAAAGCAGAGUCUUACGUGUGUUGGAACCAUUAUUUAAAAGCAAAUUCUCCUCCUUCAAUAGUCUGGUAGUUAUUAAGUUCCGUCGAGGGUCAGUCAUCAGUGACAUGAAUGUGACAUUUAGAGCCCAAUUACCCCCUACAGUGGACAUACAGAUCACUGUUUUCCAAGCCAACGCCACUCUUAAUAUCACCAGCGUAACAGGUAAGUCAAAAAAGCAAAAUCAUCAAUAUAAUGUAAUUUAA